rnacentral:lncRNA from 1 species
UUUCCUUUUUUACUGAGACCUGGACUGUCUUAAUCUGUAGCCAAGUUCAUUUUCUAAUUGAAUAAAAUGGUAGCAUGCUACCUUUUCUCAAAAAAAAAAAAAAGUAUCUAAUGCAAAGAAAAACACAAAGGCUUCGUUUGGUUCGAGGUUAAGUAAAAACUAGUUAUUCCAGGAAUAGGGUUAAGUUCAGGGUUAAGAUGGAGUUAGAGUAAUUUUGUGUUUGGUUGAAAAUUGAGUUUAGUUAAGGUAUAAGUAAAAUAGUGUUUGGUUGGAGUAGGUGGAAUAAGAAGGAUAGUGGGUUGUUAUAAAUAGAAAAUCAAAAUUUUACCCUAAUUUUUUAUUUGAAUUUAAAUUUUUUAUUUUAUAUUUAAAAUUUCAAAUUUAAAUAGAUAACUUUUAAAAUUAAAAAAUUUAAAAUUAAAAUUUAUUUUUAAAAUCUCAAAUUUAAAAAUUUAAAGUUAUAAAAUUUAAAUCAAAUUUAACAAAUAUAAAAUUUAAAAAAUUAAAAAUAAUAAUUUAAAAUUUAAAAAUAUAAAUAUAUAUUUUAAGAUUACAAUUAUAAAUUUUUAAAAUUUCAAAUAUAAAAUAUUAAAUUUAAAAGUUAAAUAAUUAUAAAUAAUAAUUUAAAAUUUAAAAAAUAUAAAUAUUAAUUUUAAGAUUACAAAUUAAACAUUUUAAAAAUUUCAAAUAUAAAAUGUCAAAUUUAAAAUUUGAAUAAUUAAAUUUAAAAUUUAAAAAUAUUAAUAUUA